UCUGUUGCAGGCCGAGAUGACAGCCACGCAGGUCACAUGACUCCAUGCCGGUAAAGGCCACGUAUGGCCAGCAGGAUAACAGAAUGCAUGCAGUAUUUCAUCAUACUAAUGGAGGCGACUGCAGAUCAGUGGUCCCCAAGACCGGAAAGCCACUCAGUUUAUUUUUGUAUUUGAUGCUGGCCAACAGCAGAGGCCUGCACUAUGGCCCACAGCAGAGGCCUGCACUAUGGCCCACAGCAGAGGCCUGCACUACGGCCAACAGCAGAGGCCUGCUCUGUGCUGGGACGGUGAUGCUGACCCGCAGCGGAAGUCUGCACUGUGCUGGGAAGGUGAUGCCGACCUGCAGCGGAGGCCUGCUCUGUGCUGGGAAGUUGAUGCCGACCCACAGAGGAGGCCUGCUCUGUGCUAGGAAGGUGAUGCCAGCCUGCAGCGGAGGCCUGCUAGGCUCUGUGAUUGAAGGUGGAAAGAAGUAAAUAUGCUGAUAUUUAGUGUCAGCUACCACUUCCAAAUCUGGCCUUUGAGAGCUGAUGUUCCUUUAAUAUUUACAUAGUGCUUUAUAUUCAGAAGAUAAUGAUAAUAAUUAUUAUUAUUGUUAUUGUUGUUGUAAUUAUUUCAUAUUGCUAAUCACUGUUAGCUACAGUGAGAUACAGUACGAUGAAAAAGGAUAGCAAAGAAAAAAAUUAAAGCUGUUUAACUAUACAAGUGUUUAUUUGCUCAGACAAAAACACAGUUUAACACUAGAAUAAAUCUAAAUGAAUAGCGACACAACAAAAAGUAACAGGAAUGUCUUUGGUUUUCCAAAAGGUUACUGAUAUCUAUUUGGAUGACUAGAUGAACAGCGCUUCAGUUCCCAAACCUGUCCUCAGGGGCACCUCAGCCACGCCAUGUGUUAAAUUUCACCACCAGCUCUUAAUUAGAAAGCGGCCUGGCUAUUUUCGUUCUCUCCCGGAGAGAAAGGCCAGAUCCAAGAACAUGGAUAACACACAGCUAAUUAGCGAGGAACUAGUUAAGAGACAGCCUUGGCAGAACACCCCCCCUACCCUCGAUACCAGAGUUACUGCCUGGCUGAGAUCUGGGUGACCACUCUUUGACCUUUGACUAUUACUCUGAGGAUAUGGUUUCAUGUUUUCGAUGUUUCAUUAACACAAAUGACUCCCCUUCUAUAGUCAUAUUGGAAUAGAUUUUGAAAUUAUGUACAGUAAUUGGUAUUCAUUUCAAUUUUACAUUUCCACAUCCAGGCGCUGCAAUCAAUUGCUCGGAGUACAAAAGGCAAAAUAUGUAUUUGGUUUUACGUUUGUGGUUUUGUUGUGCUGUGGUAAUUCAGCUCAUGAGAGACAUAAACUUCCCAGAGUCUGACUGAAGAAAAGCGAAGACAGUCUCGGAUGGCCAGACGAGAGAGACAUUUAAAGUGAUAACUAAUUAAACCAGAUUUGUAGUUCAAA